AUGCAGUCCAGAUUUAUUAAGGGGCGUUCGAUUGUGGAAAAAUUUAUCCUUGCCUUGGUGAUAGUACAGUCAGCUGUCAAGAGGAAAUUGCCAAUGAUUGUUUUGAAGUUGGAUUUUCAAAAAGCCUUUAAUAAAUUUCUUUGGGACUACCUGCUUGAAAUCUUCGGUCACCGAAAUUUUCACGAUGGCCAGAUUAAAUGGAUCCAAACCAUGCUCCGAUCUGGCCAGGCUCAGGUUCUUAUCAAUGGCACCCCUGGCUCUGGGGAAGCCAUUUCUUUUGAGUUGGGAGUUCGGCAGGGUGAUUCUCUUUUCCCGUGUCUUUUCAUUUGGUUGCCAACGUCUUGCAGUGUAUGUGUGCCAGAGAGUUCAACAUUGGUCAGCUAA
rnacentral:rRNA from 1 species